rnacentral:rRNA from 1 species
CUGAUCUGGUAAAGCGAAUGAUUAGAGGCCUUAGGGCCGAAACGACCUUAACCUAUUCUCAAACUUUAAAUGGGUAAGCACCUUAUCUUUCUUGAUAUGAAGAUAAAGGUUAUGAUAUAUUGUGCCCAGUGGGCCACUUUGGGUAAGCAGAACUGGCGCUGUGGGAUGAACCAAACGUGAUGUUACGGUGCCCAAAUUAACAACUCAUACUGAUACCAUGAAAGGCGUUGCUUGCUUAAAACAGCAGGACGGUGGACAUGGAAGUCGUAAUCCGCUAAGGAGUGUGUAACAACUCACCUGCCGAAGCAACUAGCCCUUAAAAUGGAUGGCGCUCAAGUUGUUUACCUAUACAUCACCGCUAAAACAUAUGAUUUA